GUUGUCAUCCUAAUCUAAACCUCAUCAGAGGACCUCUGGAAACCCAGCUGAAGCUUAGCUUUGAAUGCUGUUUCUGGGCCUCCAAAUAAUUUUCUUGGACUUGUGAGAGACACCUCAUUGGAAUGAGGGGAAAGUCUUUAUACAUGAGUACCUUCUCUGUGCUGAAUGUGAAAGUUUAAGAGGUGCCUCAGCUAUGGCACUCAGUCUCUGGAACAUUUUGAGCAAUGGGGCACCACUGGAAGAUAGAACUCAAUCCAAGUCUCAACAAUCCUUGAAGUCCUUUGCAUGUUCUUAGUCUGAAUGAGCGUCACUUCAGAUGUGUUGCUGUUGGAUACCUAUAUUCCAUCACAUUUCAGAGCUGGCUCCCACUUUCCAGGUGCAGGUUUGACUGAGUGUCAUGCUGGUCAGGCAGCAGGGAUCACAGAAGCUCCAGUUGAAGGGAUAGGAUUUAAACCAUGGGCUUGGACUUAGGGAUGUGGGAAUAUCAGUAGCUCUCUCUGG